rnacentral:rRNA from 1 species
CUCGUAGGCGGUUCGUCGCGUCCGGUGUGAAAGUCCAUCGCUUAACGGUGGAUCCGCGCCGGGUACGGGCGGGCUUGGGUGCGGUAGGGGAGACUGGAAUUCCCGGUGUAACGGUGGAAUGUGUAGAUAUCGGGAAGAACACCAAUGGCGAAGGCAGGUCUCUGGGCCGUCACUGACGCUGAGGAGCGAAAGCGUGGGGAGCGAACA